GAUGAACGCUGACAGAAUGCUUAACACAUGCAAGUCUUUGGCGAAGCUGUGCUUGCACAGCCUAGCCAAGGCGGACGGGUGAGUAACGCGUAAGGAACUUGCCCUGCAGUCAGGGAUAACAGACGGAAACGACUGAUAAGACCUGGUAAAGUCAGGCGGACUCAUGUCCAGCCUGAUGAAAAGAGAUGCUGCAGGAGAGCCUUGCGUCCUAUUAGCUUGUUGGUGGGGUAACGGCCCACCAAGGCGAUGGUAGGUAGCCGGCCUGAGAGGGUGGACGGCCACAAGGGGACUGAGAGACGGCCCUUACUCCUACGGGAGGCAGCAGUGAGGAUUAUUGAACAAGGGGGGCAACCCUGAUCCAGCAAUUCUGUGUGCACGAUGAAGGUUUUCGGAUUGUAAAGUGCUUUCAGCAGGGAAGAAAAAAAUGACGGUACCUGCAGAAGAAGCGACGGCUAAAUACGU
rnacentral:rRNA from 1 species